rnacentral:pre_miRNA from 1 species
AAGGUACUCCCUCCGUCCGGAAAUACUUGUCGAAGAAAUGCAUAAAAAUGGAUGUAUUUAGAACUAAAAUACGUCUAGAUACAUCCAUUCCUCCGACAAGUAUUUCCGGACGGAGGGAGUACAUA